CCAACAAUGGCCAGUAAAAACUGUCCCCAAGCCAGCCCCCAGCCCUCUCCCUUUACAUCAUCCCUCAGCACCAUCAACUAUGAUGAGUUUCCCACUAUGGUGUUUCCUUCUGGGCAGAUCUCAAGCCAGGCCUCAGCUUUGGCCCCAGCCCCUGCCCCAACCAUGGCAUCAGCUCUGGCCCAGGCCCCAGCUCCUGGCCCAGUACUAGCCCCAGGCUUUCCUCAAGCUAUGGGCCCACCUGCCCCCAAGCCUGCCUAGGCUGGGGAAGGAACAGAAGGCCCUGCUGCAUCUGCAGUUUGAUGAUGAAGACCUGGGGGCCUUGCUUGGCAACAGCACAGACCCAGCUGUGUUCACAGACCUGGCAUCCAUCAACAACUCCGAGUUUUAGCAACUGCUGAACAGGGCGUAUCUGUGGCUUCCCACACAACUAAGCCCAUGCUGAUAGAGUACCCUGAGGCUAUAACUCGCCAAGUGACAGGGACCCAGAGGCCCCCUGACCCAGCUCCUGCUCCACUGGGGGCCCCAGGACUCCCCAGCAGCCUCCUUUCAGGGGAUGAAGACUUCUCCUCCAAUGCAGACAUGGACUUCUCAGCCCUGCUGUGUCAGA
rnacentral:lncRNA from 1 species